rnacentral:rRNA from 1 species
CUAAACGAUGUCUACUAGUUGUUGGUGGAGUAAAAUCCAUGAGUAACGCAGCUAACGCGUGAAGUAGACCGCCUGGGGAGUACGGUCGCAAGAUUAAAACUCAAAUGAAUUGACGGGGGCCCGCACAAGCGGUGGAUUAUGUGGAUUAAUUCGAUGCAACGCGAAAAACCUUACCUGGCCUUGACAUGUACCGAAUUUAGCAGAGAUGCUUUAGUGCUCGAAAGAGAACGGUAACACAGGUGCUGCAUGGCUGUCGUCAGCUCGUGUCGUGAGAUGUUGGGUUAAGUCCCGCAACGAGCGCAACCCUUGCCAUUAAUUGCCAUCAUUUAGUUGGGCACUUUAAUGGGACUGCCGGUGACAAACCGGAGGAAGGUGGGGAUGACGUCAAGUCCUCAUGGCCCUUAUGGCCAGGGCUUCACACGUAAUACAACGGUCGGUACAGAGGGAAGCCAACCCGCGAGGGGGAGCCAAUCUCAGAAAGCCGGUCGUAGUCCGGAUUGUUGUCUGCAACUCGACAGCAUGAAGUCGGAAUCGCUAGUAAUCGCGGAUCAGCAUGUCGCGGUGAAUACGUUCCCGGGCCUUGUACACACCGCCCGUCACACCAUGGGAGUGGGUUUUACCAGAAGUAGUUAGUCUAUCCGCAAGGGGGACGAUUACCACGGUAGGAUUCAUGACUGGGGUGAAGUCGUAACAAGGUAACCGUAAAUCU